GCAAGUCAUGAGGUUGGUUCUCCAGUCAUUGUUGUUCUGCACUGAGGAAACUGAAGCAUAGAAACAGCUAAUAGUGAGAAUGACAAUACAACUUUGUGUAUUGUCUGGACCCCAAUUUAUAAUGGAUCCUUCUGGCUGGAUUUAGGAUAGUGACCCUACUUCAACCAUAUAAGCAAGGUUAUAAUCCUAGGAAUUUGCAAACAGAAGGAGCCACACAGAAGGAACCUACAUCCCUGGAUGACACUGAAGACAAGAGGCAUUUACCUGCCUACUCCAUGGACUGUAAAGUGGAAAAAAUGACCUAUAGUUUUUGAGCCAUUCCAUUUAUGUUUUUGUCUUUAUUUUGUUUGCAGCAACUUACUUGGAUCCAGAAAAUAUGGAGUUUACAAAGAAGAAGGGAGAGGAGGGGAAGGAUGAAAAGGAGA
rnacentral:lncRNA from 1 species